CGCCGAUAAGCCGGACGCGGCGCGCCUCCGGCUCUCCGGCAGGGCUACGAAUUGCUCGGCGGUGCGGAGUCCCAGCUUUGAACCCCUUCUAAUUCGACAGGAGAUUUCGUUCAGGUCAGAGUUGCGAAGCCCAGAUCGAGCAUGCACACACAUAUUCCGCAACAGGCUUGAAGCUAUGUACCUGUAUCUGCCACCAUGGAUCAUAACUGUGAGUUCCUUUAUGAAUA